UACGAAGGGUGCAAGCGUUAAUCGGAAUUACUGGGCGUAAAGGGUGCGUAGGCGGUUCGUUAAGUCUGUCGUGAAAUCCCCGGGCUCAACCUGGGAAUGGCGAUGGAUACUGGGCAGCUAGAGUGUGUCAGAGGAUGGUGGAAUUCCCGGUGUAGCGGUGAAAUGCGUAGAGAUCGGGAGGAACAUCAGUGGCGAAGGCGGCCAUCUGGGACAACACUGACGCUGAAGCACGAAAGCGUGGGGAGCAAACAGG
rnacentral:rRNA from 1 species